GGAUACCCUGGGAAGUCACUCCCCCCAGGAUCUGUCCACAUGGCACACGGGAGCAUAAGUUCUGCCCCAUGAUGUACAGUCCCUUUCCACUCAAGGCUGGGCCUUGAGUCUGCGCCUGCAUAUUCCUAUGACUUCUCAGAAUCAUGUGGACAAUGACUGAGUAGACAAACCAUGCAGGAAACAAGG
rnacentral:snoRNA from 1 species